UAGUCUACGUUAAUUGUUUUAUUACUAAGUCAUCUAUCCACAUGUGUGCAUGCUUGAAGGUGACAUUUAUUAUGCCACCUCCAGCUGUGGGAAAUCUAUCUCAGAUAGGUGUAAAUUGGAGAGUUUCUUGCAGAUAUUGAUGCUGGAAAGGACUGUAAUAUUGGGUUAAGCUUAAGAAAUGGGGUACUAAUGUUGUUUUGGAGGUUUGUAUGCUAUCUUAUAUCAGGGCAUUUUCUUUACAGUAUAUUCACUGUAGGGAUUCAUUCCUGGCUGUAUUUAUGUUCAUCUAUAUUAUUAAUCCCCAUAGACGUGUCUCUGUGGGGAUGCGUCCCGGCAACCCAGUGGAUUGGCUGGGAAGCCGAGGCGCUGGAUUGGCUGGGAAGCCGAGGCGCCGGAUUGGCUAGGCGGUGGAGCUCACGCGUGGCAGGAUUCAUGAAACUGUUGAGCUGCUGCCCAGGGAAAUGGCGGACAGGCUGAUGAAGCUUUGUGGGCGAAAUGGCACAUAUCCGGAAGAGCCGUUCGACUUUGAUUCAUGAACGACAUUGAUUCAUGAAGUUUGUUUUUCUCCACAAGGACAUGUAGUAGGCUUUAUCUCUGAUCCAGGUCAGCUUAUUUAUGGAAGCAUGCUCGACGGGUUCUUUGCUAUCAGCAUGUUUGUGACUUUACACCUUCACUUCUGUACGGAUGGUAUUGAGCAUUUCGCCAUUGAGGACGUCCACACCUUUUUGAGACCACGUCUGACGCAGUGCUUUUGUCAUCUGCCACUUCCAUACUUGACUUUGCCUAUUUCAUCCUGCAGCCCAAUUUUUGCCUGGCUCAGUUACACCUCCUUCCUUAACUUUUGACUGUUUUUGCACAUGCUAUUAUCUAUGUAUUCUGUAUUGUGAGAAGGCAUUACUGUUAUUGCACAUGCUAUUACUUAUGUAUUUUGCAUUGUGGUUGGUUUGAGUAUUACUGCAUACAUCAUUAUUAUUUUUCUUGGGGAAUUAUUUAGUUUAGAUUCAUGAUUUUUGUUUAGUAAUGUCAUGGAUUAUUUAUUACUGGCUUAUUAUUUCUGAAUAUACAUUUCCAGUGUUUAUUUAUAUUCUCAGUGUUUGGGUAUCAUUAUCUGUUUUGUAGUCACGGUGGGAUUUCCCUUUCUCCUUUUUAUUGUUUGUUUCAUUCUGUGAUUGCCCUUUUCCAUUGUUUUGGUCCCUGAUAGCCUGAAGCGACUUCAAAAUAAAGGUAGCUGAUAUAUACA